rnacentral:rRNA from 1 species
AGACUUUGAUCCUGGCUCAGAUUGAACGCUGGCGGAAUGCUUUACACAUGCAAGUCGAACGGCAGCACGGGUGCUUGCACCUGGUGGCGAGUGGCGAACGGGUGAGUAAUGCGUCGGAACGUACCGAGUAAUGGGGGAUAACGCGGCGAAAGUCGCGCUAAUACCGCAUACGCCCUGAGGGGGAAAGUGGGGGAUCGCAAGACCUCGCGUUAUUCGAGCGGCCGACGUCUGAUUAGCUAGUUGGUGGGGUAAAGGCUCACCAAGGCGACGAUCAGUAGCGGGUCUGAGAGGAUGAUCCGCCACACUGGGACUGAGACACGGCCCAGACUCCUACGGGAGGCAGCAGUGGGGAAUUUUGGACAAUGGGGGCAACCCUGAUCCAGCCAUUCCGCGUGAGUGAAGAAGGCCUUCGGGUUGUAAAGCUCUUUCAGCUGGAGCGAAACGGUACGCUCUAACAUAGCGUGCUAAUGACGGUACCAGCAGAAGAAGCACCGGCUAACUACGUGCCAGCAGCCGCGGUAAUACGUAGGGUGCGAGCGUUAAUCGG